rnacentral:rRNA from 1 species
UGAGUCCUACGGGAGGCAGCAGUGGGGAAUAUUGCACAAUGGGGGAAACCCUGAUGCAGCAACGCCGCGUGAGUGAAGAAGUAUUUCGGUAUGUAAAGCUCUAUCAGCAGGGAAGAAGAAAGACGGUACCUGACUAAGAAGCCCCGGCUAACUACGUGCCAGCAGCCGCGGUAAUACGUAGGGGGCAAGCGUUAUCCGGAUUUACUGGGUGUAAAGGGAGCGUAGACGGUACGCCAAGUCUGAAGUGAAAUGCCGCAGCUUAACUGCGGAACUGCUUUGGAAACUGGCGGGCUG